rnacentral:lncRNA from 1 species
CAUUAGAUUAGAAUAUAAACCCUAGUUCUUAAUUAGCCAUUGGAGAUUGAAGCAAAUUGAAGAACACUAAAGAGCAAGAGCAAGAGCAAGAGGGGAGCAUUAGAUUUGCUGACAACAGAUUCUAUUCUCUUCUCUUAUCAUACUUUUAUCUUUUAAUGUCUAUUCAGUUGUGGAUUCUUGGUUUUAAUUCAUUAAUUAUGAACUAACUCUUUUACUAAGAUUUCAAUUGAACC